AGCCAGCAACCGGUCCCAUCUCAGCGCGCUGUUUACAACAGCUUCCCAAGAAGCCAAGCUCUAAAAGCACCAGCUACCUGCGUGCCCCGAGCUCAGCCUGAAGGUACGCCACGGCACGGCACCGAGCUUUCGGUUUCAAUAUACAUUGUUUCAAAGAGCUGUUUGAGCCGCUGAGGCCAUCCAGUCUGUCAAUUCCACUUCAGAGGAAGGCUUUCCAAGUGGGCAGGUACAUUAAAGGCUAAAAACAAAGAACACCGGCGUCCAUUACUUCAACAAAGACUCCACUGUGAAAACCUGUUACUGUUAAAUUCUUUGUGUUUGUCGUUUUGGGGAACGAAACCUGGUUCGACAAAUAAAGCAAUCGAUGACAGAAGAGAUGGGCAGCAGCAGGUGAGCGGUUUGCGUGGCUGAUAGCUGUAUCCAAACUGUCCCUGGGAGAGACUCAGCAGCCCUCGCUGCGAGGCCCGGGUGUGGGAACCACAAUCACAGCAUGGAUUGGGUUGGAAAGGACUUGAAACCUACUCAGUUCCAACCCCCUGCCACAGGCAGGGCUGCCCCUCACCAGCUCAGGCUGCCCAGGGCCCCAUCCAGCUUGGCGCUGACUACCUCCAGGGAUGGGGCCCCUGCAGCUUCUCUGGGCAGCUGCACCAGUGCCUCUCUGCCCUCUCUGUGACAGGCAGAGGCAACUCAAAACAUCAAGAUGUGAGAUGGUGAAGAAGUGGCCAAAGUUUUGUUGAAGUGAUUGAGCUUUUAGAGUCGUUUUAGAGCCGUUUUAGAGCCAUUACAUGGCAAGAGGCUGCACCGUUUCAGAUCCAGCCGGAAUAUACAUGCUUAAAGACAGACAAAAUCAAGAGCGAUAUCCAGAUGGCAAACUUAAAAGAUAGAGCACCCAGCACUUUAUGUAAUGAUGGAAAAAAAGGUUUCAGGAAGUGCUUGGGGGGAAUAUCCAGAACUUCGUUUUGCAUUGGCAGCCUGGGAAAGAAAGAUGUAAGCACGGAGGGUUAGAAGACAUCUAUGCAGUAAGUGACAUAUUGAAGCUAAAAGAACACCGUGAGAACACGAUUGCUUAAUUAGAAAGGAGCCUGAUCACAGACUUAUCACAGCAACAAGUUACAAAAUCUUUGGGACAUGAGUCAGCGUGGUGGAAUUCUGCAGGAACACUAAGUUUUACCAUGAAUGUGGUAUUGUGUAUUGACCUUGCACAAAUGCACUGAGCAUCACUGUACAGACGCUGUGACCUAUGGGAACCUGUGAGUUGCAGUUUCCACCAAGAAGCCCACCCUGAGUGCACAAUCGGAGGAGAUGGGCUUCUCACAGUUGUGAAACAAGAAGUUGGGAGAAAAAAAACAUUAAAGUUUGCUUUUCCUUGGGAUGAGAAUGGAAGACCUAAUCCAGAAUGAAAU